rnacentral:rRNA from 1 species
AAAGAAACUAACAAGGAUUCCCCUAGUAACGGCGAGUGAAGAGGGAAGAGCUCAAAUUUUAAAUCUGCCUUGUUUACAAGGUUGAGUUGUAGUUUGAAGAAGCGUUUUCUUGGUUGGGCGUAUGUCUGGUAACAAGUUCCUUGGAAUAGGACAUCAUAGAGGGUGAUAAUCCCGUUUGUGCCGGCCAUGCGUUCAUCUACGAUACCAUCUACGAUACGCUUUCAAAGAGUCGAGUUGUUUGGGAUUGCAGCUCCAAAUGGGUGGUAAACAUCACCUAAGGCUAAAUACUGGCGAGAGACCGAUAGCGAACAAGUACCGUGAGGGAAAGAUGAAAAGAACUUUGAAAAGAGAGUUAAACAGUACGUGAAAUUGUUGAAAGGGAAACGAUUGAAGUCAGUCGUGCUGGCGCGAAAUCAACCCUCUCAUCGGGAGACCCAUGUUGUGGCGAGCCUCAAAACCGCCACAGCAUGUGUCUCACGAUGAGGGGGAGCACUUUCGUGUCCGCUGGUUAACAUCAAUUUCGAACGUCAUAAAAAGGCUGGAGGGAUGUGGCUCCUUCGGGAGUGUUAUAACCUUUAGCGGAAUGUGGUGUUCGGGAUUGAGGAUUGCAACGAAUACCUUUAGGGCUGUUCCACCUGGUUUCUCUUUGGUAUCCUGGUGACGACAGCUUGCUGACGUCGUUAGGAUUCGCCUUUGAACAGGCUAGAGUGUGAGCAAAUUCGUUAAGGAUGUUAACGUAAUGGCUUAAACGAC